AGAACUGCCAGAGGAAUCCUAGGAGCCAAGUUAAUGCUGAGGGCAGGCAGCAUGCAACACCUCUCUUCAUGGCUUCCCAACUAAUAAGACCUGGCACUGUAGCAACUGGCCCAGGAAGUUGAAGCAACUGGUGCAAAUAGCUGGACCAUCUCUGCAGUUGCUUGCCUACUCUUGAACAGCCUUCAGAACUUGAUACUGGAAGUGGGGCACCUGAGACUUGCCAGCUGUUGUUGGACUGCACCACCCACAAUCUCUCACCACUGGUCAUGCUAACUAGGGCUGAUGAGAGCAGCAGUUCAAUAUAAUCUGGAGGAAACCAAGUGCCUGCUUUGCACUUCAUGCAUAAUCCACUUGUUUCUGAAAGCAUGGGGAAGAAAAAGGCUGGGAGACUGUGAUUUGCAGUGACAUUUCCACCCAGGUCUCCAAGGAUCCUAGUCCAAUUUUCAAUCCGCUACACUACUCUGGAUAUCCUACAAGUACUACUACCCAGUCUAGUAUUAGUAGAUUCAGCAGGAAAAAUGGAGUCCCCACAUGGACAAGAAGAGGAGUGGCCUCUCUGUGCAUUGAGAUCACUCCAAACCAUCUUAACUGACAACAGAAACAGCAUCUGAGACAAAAUGUAGGCCUGUGACUUUAACUGCAUCACUUUUCUACUUCUGUAUGAUUUUUAACAUUUUUGUCUGAUGAAAAAGCCAGUGAAGCUUCAAAAGUUUUUUAUGCAUUUUGGAUGACCAAUAAAGUUAUACCUGUU